UACAGAGGGUGCGAGCGUUAAUCGGAAUUACUGGGCGUAAAGGGCGCGUAGGCGGCCCGUCAAGUCCCGUGUGAAAGCCCCCGGCUCAACCGGGGAACUGCACGGGAAACUAGCAGGCUUGAGUUCGGGAGAGGGAAGCGGAAUUUCGGGUGUAGCGGUGAAAUGCGCAGAUAUCCGAAGGAACACCGGUGGCGAAGGCGGCUUCCUGGACCGACACUGACGCUGAGGCGCGAAAGCUAGGGGAGCAAACGGG
rnacentral:rRNA from 1 species